rnacentral:rRNA from 1 species
GACAAGAAAUAACAAUACGGGGCUUAAAGUCUUGUAAUUGGAAUGAUGGGAAUUUAAACCUCUUCCAGAGUAUCAAUUGGAGGGCAAGUCUGGUGCCAGCAGCCGCGGUAAUUCCAGCUCCAAUAGCGUAUAUUAAAAUUGUUGCAGUUAAAAAGCUCGUAGUUGAAUUUCUGCUGCAUUGCUUGUGUCCCGCUGGGGUCUGUGCAUGUGGCUUUUUUCGGACGGAGUUUCUUUGUCUGAAUGUUUACUUUGAGAAAAUUAGAGUGCUCAAAGCAGGCUUUCGCCUUGAAUAGUUUAGCAUGGAAUAAUAAAGUAGGACUUUGGUUCUAUUUUGUUGGUUUUAGGUACCAAAGUAAUGGUUAAUAGGAACAGUUGGGGGCAUUCGUAUUUAACUGUCAGAGGUGAAAUUCUUAG